GAGCAUUGCCCACUUGCGCCAUUACACACAGGGUUUUGCUAGUACUUAAAGUCCUCUGAUUUUUUUUGUUGAGGAUAUGCAGUCUGGCCAACAAACUUGCUCUGGCCUGAAGUAAAACAGAGAAUCUUGGCCUGGGAAAGAAGUUAUUUCAUUUACUUCAAGAUGUUUUUAAAGCAAAUAUUUAAGUCUGCUUUUAAGCUCUCUUUACCUAAAAGAGAAUGUUCUCUAAAUUAAAGGGUUUCUCCAAAAUCUCAAAUUUCUUUUCUUUUUUUAGGUGGUGAGAAGAAAGAGUUUGAUGAGCCUCAGGAACAAAGAUCUCCAUUUACAUGCACUUCAUAAACUCUCACCUGCUUUACCAAUGCAUCCUACCCCUGCCAAGAGAAAGUCUUCUCUGGGAGAAAGGAAAGAACUACUGUGAAGUUACACUGAGUCUUCCUGUUUCUGAUGUUCCAGAGGUGAGGAAAAGACAUCUCAGAUAA
rnacentral:lncRNA from 1 species